rnacentral:rRNA from 1 species
UACGUAGGGUGCGAGCGUUAAUCGGAAUUACUGGGCGUAAAGCGUGCGCAGGCGGCUUCGCAAGUCAGGCGUGAAAUCCCCGGGCUUAACCUGGGAAUGGCGUCUGAAACUACGGAGCUUGAGUGCGUGAGGGGUAGGGGGAACGAGCAGUGUAGCGGUGAAAUGCGUAGAUAUUGCUCGGAAGGCCAAAGCCGAAGGGACCCUACUGGUGCGCAACUGACACUGAGGCACGAAAGCGUGGGGAGCAAACAGG